CAUUAUCGAAUGCACGACCGCGUGGUGGGCUCUUUGAUGCUGGCUCCUCGGAAGUAUGUGCUCGGAGCCUGCUCGUGUUCAUCCGCUUCAAACCCCUGUGCACAUGAGAGGUUGCAGUCCUCCGGAUGGAUGCCUCUGGCGUUCGGAGCCGUCUCGAUGCUGGUUUCCUCGAGGACCGCGCUCGAAGGCCGGGAUUGCACCUCGACCUCUUUUCAUCACAAACCCUGUGUUGUCAUGUAGAAUGUGAUCGUCUUAUGGGCGGAAUUUAAAAUACAACUUUCAACAACGGAUCUCUUGGCUCUCGCAUCGAUGAACAACGCAGCGAAAUGCGAUAAGUGAUGUGAAUUGCAGAAUUCAGUGAAUCAUCGAAUCUUUGAACGCCCCUUGCGCUCCUUGGUAUUUCGAGGAGCAUGCCUGUUUGAGUGUCAUGAAUAUCAUCAACCUCCGUCGCUUUGCAGCGGCUCGGAAGGCUUGGACUUGGGUCUGUCGGCCUUGGGGUCGACUUUCCUGGAAUGCAUUAGCUGGACGCGUUCUCCUUGGUCGCCUCUUUUGGGCGGGAGCUGGACAUCCACGGUGUAAUAUGCUAUUCACCUGGGAUUGGCAGCGCCUUUGGCCUCGGGUUCUGGGCCUGCUUCCAACCGCCUCCGUCAAACAAGACAUCUCUUGACAAUCUGACCUCAAAUCAGGAAGGACUACCCGCUGAACUUAAGC
rnacentral:rRNA from 1 species